CUAAGGAGCGGGGACACGUGGGUGGAACGACGUCUUAGCCCACGAUCCGGACAGUAGACCGAAGUGCGGACCGGAGAGGCCCCAGCUGGAGGAGGGAGGUCAGCAGGGAGCCGCUCCUUCCACUGAACGGAGACCUGGGAAUGCCCGGCUCAGGGAAAAUUCCCUACCUAGCCGCAGAUGGAACAAGCCACCGCAGACCACCCGGUUGAGCAACUGGCUCCCUUUCCUACGUGGGUCGGGGGAAGGAGGAUCCGACGACGACGACAAAAAAACAGUGAAGGGAAAAAACCCCUACAAAACCCGGCCCACAAAGCGACCUUCGCGUGAGAAACGGAAAUCUUCGGGACGUCAGCGGAGUGCGAUGUAAUUAAUUUCUCCCUUUGCCCGACAGCUCCCUCUUAGCUUGUGACCGGAAUAGAGGAGCCAAAUAAACCGGAGCAUGCCGGGUAAUGUUUUCAGUGAUGCCGCAGUUAAUGAACCAGGAGGGAAUGUAAAACUGAGAAGCAUUGUUCCAGCAGUCUGCUCUUUAUCAGACUCCUGGGGGAAACGGGAGCAGCAUUCAUUACUUCUGUUCGUUGAAGUCUAAGAAUGCGGCCCUGACUCACGAGGUGACCGAGGCCCAGAGAAGUGAAGCAACUCGCCCGAGGUCCCACGGCAGACGAGCGGCGGAGCCGGGAUGCGAACCCAGCGCCCCGACCCCCGAGGCCCGCGUCUCCUCUUCUCCCUUCCCGGGAGUCGCCCGACACGGAGAUCACUCACGGCUCUGCCAGGCCGCAUCUCCGGCCUGCGCUUCCGCGGGCCUUUCCUCCUCCCCCUCUGAUUCCGUUCUCUCCGAUUCCCGGGCCGUCUGAUUACCUCGGUGUUCUUUCCCUUUUUAACCAUAAACACAAAUCCUAUUAUCUUCCCUCUC